rfam:Azospirillum lipoferum strain R1C genome assembly, contig: Ga0048941_15
CAACCAGGCCGGGCCCCUCUGGCAACCCCCCUCAGGGGUUGCGAUGUCGGACUGGAUUU